rnacentral:rRNA from 1 species
UACGUAGGGUGCAAGCGUUGUCCGGAAUUAUUGGGCGUAAAGAGCUCGUAGGCGGUUCGUCGCGUCGGCUGUGAAAUCCCGAGGCUCAACCUCGGGUCUGCAGUCGAUACGGGCGGACUGGAGUUCGGCAGGGGAGACUGGAAUUCCUGGUGUAGCGGUGAAAUGCGCAGAUAUCAGGAGGAACACCGGUGGCGAAGGCGGGUCUCUGGGCCGAUACUGACGUGAGGAGCGAAAGUGUGGGGAGCGAACAGG